AGGCAGCCCCCUAGCAACGACGAUUGAUAAGGGAGGUGUUACUCUACUCGGAAAUUAAUGCUUGAGCUCUUCAGAUUUGCUGACUUUAAUGAAUGAAACAAGUCUAGUAACGCUCAAGUACAUU